AAAUCAAGAAACCUAGGUGGGAAAAUUAAAGGAAAAUUGGUGGAUUUCAAGGAAUCAAGCAAUCAAAGGUAAAAUUUCUUGAUUUUGACUUGUGAUCUACCUUUCCCAUGCUUUUCUCCUUAUUUUCCAUGGUUAGAUUUCAUGUUUUCAUGGUGAAUUCAUGGCUGCGCAAAUGGGUAUGGAGAGAGAAUGAAGUUAGAUUAAUUUGAUUUUAAGUUAUGUUAGUGUUUUAAGUUAGUUUAGCAUAUUUAGAAACAAAACAAUAAGAAAAGAAUUCAUUUUCCUUCAUUACCAUUAUUGGCCGAAUUUUCUAGGGGAAUAUUGGCUACUGAUCUUGAUGUUUAUUUGAGGAAUUAUGAUAAAUAAUGAUGAAUUAUGAGCCUAGAAAAAUAAUGGGAAUUUUCAGAGUAAAAAUAUAAAUUUUUACCCACUAGGGGUAUUUUCGUAAUUUGCUAUUGGGAUUGAUAAUUUGCACCACACUGAGGAACAUUAAGUCAAUUUGGGUGCAAUUGAGGUAUAGAAACUAAAAAAAAUUAAUUUGGAGUUUAAACGGACGCGUAUAUCGAUUUAUCGGGUAAAAGACCGAAAUAGGCUAACAUCGUGUUUAGGCAAAAUUUAGACAUUUUGCACUUCAUAUCAUGCAUUAGUAGUAUAAAUUAGUUUAUUUUGGUUUAGUACCAAAGUAGUAAACCUCUUAAUUGUGCAAUUUGUCAAGGUGACAAAUCCUCUGGCAAGGGCAAAGAAAACGCACCCAAUGAGUAAUAGUUGGAGUACCCGAAUUUAGUUUUCGAAAACUGUGAGUAAACUUAUUAUCGUCUUAAUUAUCUAGAGUAGUUUUAUACAAUUGUGUGAUUUUAUGAAAAAUGGGUUUAAAUGGUAAAUUGCUAUGUUUUAAGAGAAAUUGUGAUUUUAUAAAAUGAUUUUAUAAAUUUUCUGAAAAAUUGAAUACUGGUUUUAAAAAUAGAGUAAUUGGAGACAGCCUGCUUGUGUUGUAAAUUUAUAGUUUAAAAUUGAAUGGCUUAUGACAAUAAAUGAGCAUGAAUGGCUAAACUGAUUUUGGUGUUAGAAUUAUUUGUAUUGUGUAUUUAGCCUUGAGAGGUUAGGUUGCGAUAAAUUGCCAUGUCAUGCAGAAAAAGAUUUUAUAAAUCAAGUGGUAGAUAAAAGAUUAGUUAUUGCAGUGGUGGGGGGUUCCGUGGGCCAGCCUAUUAGAGGGGCACGAUAAACUCCUUUAUAUUCUCACAUCGGUCGUAAAGGCGCGUAAGGUAUCUCCUGAGGUGGGCUUUUUGAGUGCACUUCACGUGGACCACCGCGUGAGAGUGAGACUCAGCCAACGUCAAGAAACGACUAUGUUUCAAAAUAAAAAUAUGAUUUAUGUGAAAUAUGAAUUUUUAACAGCCUCGGCGAACUCGGUUGGAUACCCUUGGUCCAGGUGUCCCCGAGUACAAGAUUUGGCAUGAGCCAAGUUUUGAGUAAUUCACGAGCCAUAUUGAUUAUUUGGUUGAAAUGAAUAUUCGUGAUGUGAAAAUUUGCUGAAGUUAAUUAUUUUUAAUUGUCUCCAUUUACUCGCCUUUAGAUAGUUUAGAUGGUGUUUGUUUACUCACUGAGAUUUUAUAAUCUCACCACCCUCAAUUCCCCACAUUUCAGGUUUGGGAUAGUCGGUAGAUAGCCGAUUGCAUCAAGGACUUCUGUUAGCCUUGCAUUGUCAAAAUUAUAGGUUCACAGACUCGCAUCUUAUUGGUUAAUUGGGGGCCCACAUGUCAUUGUAAAAGUAAUUUUAUAUUUUAGUUAUCUGAUUUAAAAUAUGUAUGAACAUAUUUAGCUUUUACACCAUGUUUUUGGCGAGUUUCAGUAUUAUCGAAGAAAAAUGAUGAAAAUGCCCCUGUGAGCCAG
rnacentral:lncRNA from 1 species